rnacentral:rRNA from 1 species
UACGUAGGGGGCUAGCGUUGUCCGGAAUCAUUGGGCGUAAAGCGCACGUAGGCGGAUUGUUAAGUCGGGGGUGAAAUCCUGGAGCUCAACUCCAGAACUGCCUUCGAUACUGGCGAUCUCGAGUUCGGGAGAGGUGAGUGGAACUGCGAGUGUAGAGGUGAAAUUCGUGGAUAUUCGCAAGAACACCAGUGGCGAAGGCGGCUCACUGGCCCGAUACUGACGCUGAGGUGCGAAAGCGUGGGGAGCAAACAGG